GGUUAACAGCUAAACCUUAGAACUAUAUAUGUCUUGUUCUAAAUUUCGAUUAUGUUGUAUAUAAGCUUCUUGCUAUUUGAGAAAGUAUACAUGUAUGAACAUACAAUGAGAUUGAGUGAGACAAGGCUUGCUCGCGGCCUUAACAUAUUCAUUCAGAGCUAAGUGUCUGUUAAAAUAAAUAAUAUAACUACAACUAGAUAACACUUAUAAUAAAUAACAACGAGUCUGUUAACACAGAGACUAUGACGUAUGUAUACGAUUAUACAUGUAUUAAAACACAGCAUAUGUUUUCAUUAAUGAAUGUGCAAAGCACGAUAUCACAGGCGAGAUGUGUAAAUUAAAGGAAAAAAAAACAAGAGUCGUCCUCUAAUCUCAGGUACAUAAGUGAAAUUAAACUACAAAAACUAGGUGAAUGUGCCCCUAUGAGAGCCGGGCGACGUCUUUACGUAAAAUUGUGGUAAGGCGAUUUGAUCUGUAUUAUGGCUAAUAUUUUCGUUGAGAAUGGCAAUUGGCGACAAUUUCUCACUGAAACUUUUUAGGUGAUGCAUCGCAUAUUCGCAGAGUGGUUGGAUAUUUGCAGCAUCAUAUAUGGAAGCGUUGGAGUAUCUUUUC
rnacentral:sRNA from 1 species